GACGAACCGUGCGAACGUUGUUCGGAUUCAUUGGGCUUAAAGGGCGCGUAGGCGGCCGCUCAAGUCGGGGGUGAAAUCUUUCAGCUCAACUGGAAAAUAGCCUCCGAUACUGGGCGGCUGGAGGGAGAUAGGGGUGCGCGGAACUUCCGGUGGAGCGGUGAAAUGCGUAGAUAUCGGAAGGAACGCCGGUGGCGAAAGCGGCGCACUGGAUCUCAUCUGACGCUGAGGCGCGAAAGCCAGGGGAGCAAAGCGGG
rnacentral:rRNA from 1 species